AUGGGGAUGAAAUUUCUGAACAAGAAGGGGUGGCACACGGGGAGCCUCCGCAACGUGGAGAAGGUGUGGGUGGCGGAGCAGAAGGAGAAGGAGGAGCAGCACAAGAUCGAGGAGUACAAGAAGCAGCUCAAAGAGGAGCGGGAGAAGGCCGAGUUCCGCGCCAUCCAGGAGCAGGCCGGAUUCAAGCCGAGGCAGGAGAGGUUGGAAUUCCUCUAUGAGUCAGGGCUGGGUGUUGGCAAGGGGAGUUCGGAUGGAUUCCAAGCACUGCAGCAACCUGGCCCAGCGGUGGCCGCUGCCGCCUCCUCUUCUGCUCCAACGGCUGCUGGCUCUUCCAAGGAUACUUCCCUGGGAGCUCUAUUUGAGGAGAAGCCUCAAUCUGCAAAUGACACAUGGAGGAAACUUCACUCUGAUCCUCUACUCCUAAUAAGGCAGCGUGAGCAGGAUGCUAUUGCAAGGAUUAAAAAUAAUCCAAUCAAGAUGGCCGAGAUAAAGAAAUCAAUGGAAGCAGAAAAAAUGCAGAAGGAAGAAAAGAAAGAGGAGAGAAAGCACAAAAAACAUCGUCAUCAUAAGUCAAAGAGUAAGAGGCAUCACUCAGCUGAAAAUUCUGAUUCGGAUGACGUAAGUGAUGGCAAGAACGAAGGGAGAAAGAAAGUUCCUUCUGCUCCAGAGCACAAGAGGGAAGUGAAAAGGUCAAGGCAUCAGAAGAAAGAAAGUAGACAAGAAUCCUCGGAUACAGAAGAUGAUGAACCAAGGAAAAGAAGGCAGGAGAUUUCAGAAGAUGAUCAACCAAAGAGAAGACGACAAGACAAGUCAGAAGAUGCUGAACGGAGAAGACGGCGGGAGAUGUCACAGGAUGAUGAACCAAGGAGAAGACGGCAGGAUACGCCAGAAGAUGAUGAACCAAGGAGAAGACGACGGGAUACGCCAGAAGAUGAUGAACCAAGGAGAAGACGGCGAGAUACGCCGGAAGAUGAUGAACCAAGGAGAAGACGGCGAGAUACACCAGAAGAUGAUGAACCAAGGAGAAGACAGCGGGAUAUGCCAGAGGAUGAUGAACCAAUGAGAAGGCGACGGGAUAUGCCAGAAGAUGAUGAACCAAGGAGAAGACGGCCAGAAAUGUCUAAGCAUGAUGAGCAUCCACGCCGGGAUCGGCCAGAUGCUGAUGAUAGGAGGAGACACAAUUCGGGUUCAGACCGCCACCAUGCUUAUCCAAAGCAUGACAGCUCAGACUCGAAGCAGAGAAGUAUUGGAAAUGGCCGGAACAAUGGCAAUUCCACUUCUGAACACCGCUCCCAUGCUGAAGUCGCUUCAGGAGAUCAACGAAGACAGGAGAGCCGGCAGGGCAGGGAACUAGGUUCAGAAGACCGUGGAAGACAAGAAGGCCAGCAGGGCAGGAACAAUGGGCCCACAACUAACCGCCGUCGAGGGGGCGUGCACCAUAUGUCGGAAGAGGAGAGGGAAGCUCGUCUACGGCAAAUGCAGGCAGACGCCGAGGUCCACGAAGAGCAGAGGUGGAAGAGGAUCAAGAAGGCUGCAGAUGAUGAUGCCAAAGAGGCGUCCACGGUGGCUGCAAACCAGUUCAGAGGGAAGAAUUUCUUGGAGGACGAAAAGAAGAGUAUAUUUGGUGCUGAAAAGGGCGGCAGCGCCACCAUCGAAGAGAGCAUCCGCCGCCGCGCCUAUUAUUCUCAGGGUGGCGGUGAUGCCCAUGAGGCCAAUGCGUUCAGGCGGUGA
rnacentral:rRNA from 1 species